GUCAGUCUGUUGGUUAAGUCCUAGGUGGAAUCUUUGGAAAGAACUGGCUUUUGUUCAGCCCUUAGGGAAGAAAGCCUGUGGCCUUUAGCAAGCAAGGAUGGGGGUGUAACCAGGCUCAUCAGACCUCCCAUCCCCUCACAGCCACAGACCCAGCUUUAAGUUUCCCAGACGGAAGAUUAUUCUUACUGCAGAUCUUAGCAACCUCAGCACAUGACUCUUUUUCUUUCCUCAUUAAGUCAAGAACCUUUGGCCUUUUCACUUAAAAGAAGCACUCUAAGGCUUCGCUUUGACAUACCCCAGUUGCCAGCAUCACUACUGUUUGGGACCAUUAGGAAGUAAAUUCAGGGAGACUUGAACACAAGCACUGCUUAUCUCGAAAGCUGAUCUGCUCACCGAGGUGGCCCUUGAGCACGGACAGCCUGGAUCUGCUGGAUCGGUUCUUGGGGAAAAGCUGUGCUUCAGAGACAAGGUUGAAGAACUUCGCCUGCAUAUGAUGGAAGAUGACAAUGGGAACCACAGGUGUCAUUGGUGGCUUUGUUUUACAAAGUCUUCACCUUUCUGCUGAGUCACGGGACUAAGUUCAACACAAUUUCUACUUUCCGCCUUCCUUUGGAAUAAUAGUUUUGGAAGCCAAGUAUUAGUAUAUGAUACCAGGUGUGUUUUCUAAAGAUUCAGGUUCAGUGGGCUGAAUGCACUUUCAUGACUUCAUUAGACCACUGAGCCCAAGGAGAAAAGUGCCAAUCUUACUAGACAUGAGGAAAAAGACACAUCUUUUGCUCUUGCUGGAAGUGGUGUCCUACUUUCUACAAGCAGUCGUCAUCUGGUUUAUACUUGCCUUGUUCAGUUUUUGUGUGAUAUUUUAUUCUCUGCCUAAUAGAUAUUAAAGUAUCAAGCUGUCAA
rnacentral:lncRNA from 1 species